UGCCCGGUGGCCCGUGAGGAGAAGACCGGAAACUUCUGGGUGGGCCUGGGGUGGGCGGAAUCUUCCCUUUCGACUGUGCCGUGGAGGUGACCUUCAGUCACCGUAGCGGAGCACAGGCUCUCGGAGGGGAACCCCUGCGUCCCGGCCUGACCGGAUCUUGUAACCAGGCAGCAAGCGGGGCCCCUGAGAGAUUCGAGAAGUCGCCUGAGAACUUUGCGCCCACGGCAGCUCCCGCCUGAAAGGCCGGACCGUGUCCUUAAGAAUGCUGACAGCCAAGCUGGGCAUUCCAGCGUUCCGUGGAAGGACAGACAGUGACUUCAGAGAUUUUAUUUAUUUGACAGAGAGCGCACAAGCAGGGGGAGCAGCAGGCAGAGGGAGAGGGAGAAGCAGGCUCCCUGCAGAGCAAGGAGCUGGAUAUGGGGCCUGAUCCCAGGACCCUGGGAUCAUGACCUGAGCUGAAGGCAAAUGCUUAACCGACUGAGCCACCCAGGGACCGCCCCAACCAACAUGUUUUCUUGAUUUUAAAAACAGUAUACUUAAAUGUUAAUGUACCAUAAGAAACCCUCUCACUAAGCAAUAGAAGACAAUUGAUGCAGUGUUAAGAAAUCAGCAUCUGCUUUUUUGAGAGUGGGCAGAAAGUUCAGCAAGAGAUCAUGGACAUAGCUGUAGUAUCCUUUUUUGGAGGUGUGCCAUGUGUGGGCAUGACGUCCAAAUGUGUUAUUUCUGCAUCUGUGAAACUCUUAUAAGACAAACACAAAAGAACAGUGACCGAUUGAUUGCCAUUAAACUCGGUGAAAAUGGAACCAACAUAGAGCCUAGAUGACCAGGAGAAAUGGCUCCUAAAUAUUCAAGAGGUGACAAUUGGUAGCAGUGGAUAUCUGUAACAAAAUGUGGAGAAAUUCCAGUGUCUGCAGUUAGUUCCGUUGAAGAAAAGAUAGCCAAGUUAAAGGAAAGAGAAAGAAAAGAAAUUGGAGCAGUGGUGUAGACAUAGAAGGUGAGACUCCUGCCCUAAAACUUGAUUAUUUGUUGUUAAAUAAUGCAGACUGUGCUUGUGUCUUUCAACAAUGUAUCUUGGGUCUGUAUUAAAAUUUUGGAUUUCUUAAACAGAUUUUCGGGAGAUGUGACUCAGUUUUUGUUUUGAAGUGUUUUCAAACUUGCUAUGCUCAUAUUUCACUUUAGUGAGCUCUCAUGUUUACUGAAAAUCCAUCUAGACCUCUGGUACAAAGAUUCCAAGAGGGUUUUUGGAAUUA